CUAAGUCGGGCUGCCUGCUCAGUGGGAAGCCUGCUGCUCCCUCUGCCUCUCAGCCCCUGCUCAUGCUCUCUCGUUCACUCUCUCUCUCUCAAAUAAAUAAAUAAAAUCUUUAGAAAUAUAUAAGUGUAUUCUCUAUAAAUAUGCAUAUGGACAUAUACAUACAUUUCUCUCUAUGUAUACAUAUAUCUAUAUACAUAAUUUUUUCACAAAUGGUAGCAUCCUCUAUAUAUUAUUUUGCACUUUGCAUUUUUUACCUAACGAAUUAUCUUGGAGAACUUUCCAUGUCAGUGCCUCAUUUUUUUAACAGCUGAAUGGUGUUUCAUGAUAGGCAAGUACUGCAAUAUAUUUAAAUAGUCCCCUAUUGAUGGACAUACAGGUUGUGUAUUGAUUCUAUAUGGCUGUAUAAUAAAUUACUCCAAAACACAGUGACAAAAAAAAAACAAUAAAAAUUUAUCUUCUCUUAGGUUUUCUGUUGAUCAGAACUUUGAGUGGGACUGAGCUGGACGGUUCUCACUUGAGGUCUCUCAUGAGGCCACAGUCAGAUGUUGGCGGGGGCUGCUGUCAUCUGAAGACUCAACUGGGACCGGAGGAUCCAUGUCUAAGGUUACUCAUUCUUGUAACUGGCAAGGUGGUGCUGGCCGAAGGCUGGCAGCCUCAGUUCCUCUCUGCAUGGACCUUCCUAUGGAGCUGCGUGGCGUUUCCCCGUGGCUGCUGGGGCUCGCAGCCUCCGGGCUCUGGUGCUGAUGCCUAAGCGUCCCUGCUCAGUAGAAUGUCGGGCCCCUGGAGAAGGAGGACAGAACAGACGUGAAUCACCAAGAACAGCAGCUAAGGCCCGGAUCCUUUCUAUUCGGCUCUGCUAGAACUCAUCGCUUACGUCUGAACACAGGCACUGUGGGGUAGAUGGAGGUGGAUCGUGCCCAAGGAACAGUUCGAAUUUGAAGGACAGGCAUCAGGACCUUCUCCAUGGCCUCCCUGAGUCUGUGGAGCCACGCGAAUGCCCCUGCAACCAGGCCGCGCUCCGAGCACACAGGACGGCAAGGCUCCUGGAAUUUUAGCAGCAGCUACGUUGACUCGUGUGAGGUAGGAGUGACAGUUUCCGACAAAGGAUUCACCGAAAAUGGAACUUGGGUCAUCAAUUGGGUUUGGGGACACGACUUUUUCAAGAGCAGACCAAAGGCCUAGAAUAAGACCCUCUAUCCCAUACAGUGAAGGAAGAAGUUAGUUGCCCAAUCCAGGGAUCUGGCAGACCCCCCGCUUCCCGUCCUUCGCUGUCCUCCUGUCCCGGAA